CGUAGGAGGCAAGCGUUAUCCGGAUUCACUGGGCGUAAAGCGCGUGCAGGCGGUGCGGUAAGUUAGGCGUGAAAUCUCCCGGCUCAACUGGGAGAGGUCGUCUAAUACUGCCGUACUUGAGAGCAGAAGAGGAAGAUGGAAUUCCCGGUGUAGUGGUGAAAUGCGUAGAUAUCGGGAGGAACACCAGUGGCGAAGGCGAUCUUCUGGUCUGCUUCUGACGCUCAGACGCGACAGCUAGGGUAGUAAACGGGAUUAGAGACCCCGGUAAUCCUAGCCGUAAACGAUGUGAACUUGGCGUUGGUGGGUUAAACUCCAUCAGUGCCGCAGCAAACGCGAUAAGUUCACCGCCUGGGGACUACGGCCGCAAGGUUA
rnacentral:rRNA from 1 species